rnacentral:rRNA from 1 species
GAUCCUGACUCAGGAUGAACGCUAGCUACAGGCUUAACACAUGCAAGUCGAGGGGAAACGACAUCGAAAGCUUGCUUUUGAUGGGCGUCGACCGGCGCNCGGGUGAGUAACGCGUAUCCAACCUGCCCAUCACUUGGGAAUAACCUUGCGAAAGUAAGACUAAUGCCCAAUGAUAUCCCACGAAGGCAUCCGAAUGGGAUUAAAGAUUUAUCGGUGAUGGAUGGGGAUGCGUCUGAUUAG